ensembl:lncRNA
AUGAGUAAAAUCACUCACCUAAUAGGUGUUUAUCUUGUAACAGGCAUCGUUUCCAUUUCUCACUUUAAAAACUUAGGCGACCAGUUAUCCAAACGACUCAAAACAAUGAUCAUUUUCCCAGAGUCCUUCUUCCCUCCGAUACCAGUGACCUCAGAUAUGAAAGUGGAGCUGAGCGCACAAGAUUUAGAACAACAAUCCCCGCAUGUGACGUCAGAUGAGCCCCUCAGUCCUCCCUCGCUACUCCCUCUAGCGUUCGAUUGUUCUGCGUCCGUGCCGUCCUGCACCGGCGAGAUAUACAAUGUCAAGUCGUGUUUGUUUCCUGCCCGAACAGCACCUCUCUGUGGCGAACCGGAGGCAUCGAAACUACCAAAUCGGAGAUCUUUUGGGCUGUGCUGCGUCAGCACGUUGCUUGGAAACCAGCAAAGCCGUCCUCGGACGCAGAGCUCGGUGUGGAUCUGCAGAACAUCGGGACUUGGCCAGCGGGUGGUGUAA